rnacentral:tRNA from 1 species
GCCUCUGUGGCGGAAUUGGUAGACGCGGCAGACUCAAAAUCUGUUGUCCGCGAGGACGUGCUGGUUCGACUCCGGCCAGGGGCACCA